AUGAAAAUACACUCCCCAAUGGUCGGGUCCUCUGUGACCUGCUCUCCAUCUGGUUCAGCAAGUUGCCCUCUACAGCUGAAGAGUCUACCGGCGAUUCUUUGGGUCGAUGGUUUUGAAACUGGACAAAGUAGAAGCGUUAAGGCCAGUGCAUCUCCGUGCUGAUGUCGGAAGCUCUGUCUGUACACCUCCCACAGUCUUGUUUCGUGCUUUGCCCCAUGAUGGUAAAACACUCACUCUCUGUCGUCUGGUUUAAAUGGAGGAUACGGAGAAACGGAGAAGUAAGGUGCAAUGUGAAGACCCCUUCAGAAUGCCAUCAGCGUGUUUAACUGGGAGAUGGUGAUGCGACAUCAGAGCGGACACAGACUUCUCAUUGCAGGAUGUCAACUGACAUGGAUGUCUGUCUAUUGGAUGCAUGUAGAAAGGCAAGGAAGCUUAGCACGGAAGUCCAGCCCCAUAAAUGUGACAAGCCGGAUGGCAUCCCCUUUGUCCCCACAUUCUGCUGUCAUCUUCCUUCCUUCCUUCCUUCCUUG
ensembl:processed_transcript